AAUGAGUAGUUGUGUUCAAACUUUUGACUGGUAGUGUACGUUYUGAAGUAGUACAUCCCCUUUGAACAGCAACCCUGGCGAUCAUGUUUAGGGCCAGCGAAGGCCUCUGGAACACAGCCACAUGGGGCUUUUCUCCCUCAGCUGAGAAACCUUGGCAAGGUGCAGCAUAGCCAAGUAAAACUCAACGAUACAGUGUACCUCAGACUACAUCCAGUCGCUGUCAGUCGAUACGAGGAAACAGACGGUGGUUGUAUUUUAUGAACGUUUAAUGAAAAGUAUGGAUYACAGCAAACAAAUUAAGGCACACCGCUACGGAGUACCAACAUAUGUACACGGUUUGAUCCUCCAUACAUCAGGACCACAACCAUGGAUUCCAUUCCGAUGACCACACUGAUUAAUCUGCAAUAAUAACUUUCAAAUAGCCCAGGAUAAGAGUACCCAGAAAUGCAAUGCAUCUAUUUUCACCAGUAGAUGGAGGAGAAGAUGCAGGUCAGUGAUCAUAUCUCCCAAACAAGCUUGGGUAAGUUCAUGAUACAUUGUCACACUUGACUGUACUGUAGGUAUGAUUAGAAAAAGCGGGGACAGAGGGGACAUGAUAUACUGGUGUUAAACAGACAGCUACCGUUCUCCAGAACAGAUCAGGUUUCUUUACUCCUCUACAGCCAAAAGUGUUAAGAAGACAGACAAAUAAUGAACAAGAUUUUGCAGGUGGCAGAGACAUGGGUGGUUCUAAUAGUCUUUUUGGUAAGGUAAUAUUUUUUUUUUUAUAGUAGAAGGCAAUGAAGGAUAUUGUUUGAGUGCAAGACAUUUAACUGACUGCCAAAUCGAAAUUUAGAGGAGGCAUCACAUAUUAUCCAGGCUUAUUGUUGURAACAACAUACAAUAUAAUUUCGACAACUUCACGGUUGUGUCUGAAGGCUACAGACAAACAGCAGCACUGUCUCUCUGUGUUAUUUAAU